CACAAACCUCUCUGCAGAAUGCUUGGGGGAAAUCAGCUGCGGGGGGCACACAGGACCCACUGAUCAGAGUCAUCGCCAGAGAUUGAUGCUUACAGAGAUGAAAAGCCCUCAACCAUUGUCACCAGGAUCAGAGUAUUGAGGAAACUCAGGGAUACCUGCACCCUCCAGUGUGUCAUGUGGAGACUCACCUGGGAAUGCAAGUGGCCAACAGUAGUGAAGAGGAUGAGCUUGUGUGGUCAAAAUGGGAUGUGGAUGUGAAAUUUAUCCUGUGCUGUGCAAAGUACCACAGAGUGAGUCACCUUCCUCACCAGUAGUGUUAGAAAGAGGCUGUGAAAGUUGUCAGAAUCAAAAUAGAUCCACUUGUGUUAAAACCCUGACAAAUGGAACUAGGAAUGACCAUGAAGGAGGUUUCCCAUGCACAUACUCCUGAUAACAAGAACGACCAUGAAUGGAUUCUGCUUAACCACAACCUUUGAUAGAAGCCACCAUGACCUUAUAAAAAUCACAUCUACAAGGACAUCUUCCCAGCAAAUCACUGUUUAACCCUAUAUUGAUGCCAACCUUGGUAUUGACUCUACAAGCAAGGAAAAUACUCUCAAAACAAUUUAUGUAACCCACCUCAUUUUCACUAAUAAACCUAUGGAUUGACA
rnacentral:lncRNA from 10 species